AACAAAAGACUCUUUACAUAAACCCAGUGCUUGUACAUCUUUCUUUUGGAAGAAGAUGAUGUAAACCCUAAACAUCAUGUGACAUGGUAAUGAAUAAUACAGCAGUGAGAGGUGGGGAUAGUCUGGGGAGCGCACAGUUAAGCUUUGAUGAGAGAGCAAGAGGAGGGUUCAUAUAUCCUUCCCAGAUUUAAAGACAAGUGGGGAACAGCGCGGCUGCUCCGUCAGAGGAGAAGAUGUGCUGGCUACCGAUAGACCAGCCUCUCCUGCGGCCGGGAGACUCCAGCUGCAGCGCGUCGCACAGACGCUCCUCGGCUUGCUCCGUUGCUCAGCUGCUCGCGUCGCGGCUGCGGAGGAUCGGGGACCAGCUGGAGAAGAGCUGGACGGCCGGGGAGACACCUGGCGACCUCGGCUGCGGGGACACAGUGAUGGUGGCGGCGGUAACCGGGCGCGGCCAUUUCAAAGGCUUCCUGUGCCUCGCGGUGCACGUCACCUUACUUGUGUUGCUCGGCGCGAGGCGACACCUGUAGGGCGCGAGGCUGCGAUUUCCGCAACAGAUUGGUGCCUUUUAAAAAUUACACAAGCAGAACAGCAAAUGGGCUUACAUCAUUUGCACUUAAAGCAAGAGAUGCAGAGGAUGGUGUGGCUGGAGAAAUGAUGUGCGCAGACUGAAGAGGACGAAAGGAUGGCCUAAACGAUUUCGUAUACCAGGAUUGAAGGCUGACUGAACUCCCACUGUGGAUGGACUUGGGAGUUUUAAACUGGCUGAAUCUGCAGUUGUCCUGCCCCCCUUCUCUCUCCCGAUUCUGUCAUCCCAUUUACAAAACAAAACAGUGAUGUAAUCCUCCCCUGGUACCAGCGGAGGGAAACGCUUACUUAUGGUACGCCUUUGAAUGUUUUCUCCUCCAGUGAUGCGAGUGCAUCAGGGACAGUUGGAAUGAAACUGAUUAGACCUGACAUACACUAUAUUGCCAAAGGUAUUUGUCUGUCUACGUUUCAUGUACACGGCCUUUGAUCACAUGCUAUUUUUAAUGUAUAAGGUCCAGUUGGUUGAUGGACCCACUGUUGCCAGCAAGGACAUCUUUUACCUAUUCUGUAAACAUCUUCCACAAGGUUUAGAAGUUUGUUCAUAGAUCAGAAACCCAGAAGUGCAGCCUCCGCUCUAAUUCAUCCCAAAGGUGUUCAAAAAGGUUGAGGCCAGGACUCUGCGCAGGCCAGUCAAGUUUCUCCACACCAAAUAUUAUACACCUGCAACCAUGGAAGUGAUUGGAACACCAGAAUUCAUUGAUGUGGUGCUGUGACCCAAUACGUUUGGCAAUAUAGUGUAUAUAGGCUGCAAUUACUGCAGGAAACCUUUAAAACAAUGCACUGAAAUACACCUAUUCUAAAGCUCCACAAUGCACUGUACUUUUUUAGAUAAGCUAAACUCUUUGUAAACAUGUAUAUAAUGGAGGAGGCUUUUAUAGGUGUUUUUUACAGUGUUUGGAUAUUGUUUACAUAUUUGUGUAUGCUUUAUUAUUAUCUGCUGAGGCUGUCUUAUGUAGCGUUUCACCAUAAACAAAAUGCUGGACCUGUUUUUUUGUAUGAAAUGAGCUCUUUUAAUGUCAAAUAUUUCUAAUGAAUUUUCAGCAAUUAUGAAAAUAAACACUGGAAAAUGUC